UCCUACCUUGUCUAGGGGAGCAUAAUAUCUUAUGAUCAUCUAGUGAAGAUAUUGUUGCUGACACCCUAUAUAAAAACCCCGCACCUGAUUAUAAUUAUUUAUUAUCAGAUGCGAAUUUUUGGAAUU